rnacentral:rRNA from 1 species
AAAUUGAAGAGUUUGAUCAUGGCUCAGAUUGAACGCUGGCGGCAGGCCUAACACAUGCAAGUCGAACGGUAACAGGAAGCAGCUUGCUGCUUCGCUGACGAGUGGCGGACGGGUGAGUAAUGUCUGGGAAACUGCCUGAUGGAGGGGGAUAACUACUGGAAACGGUGGCUAAUACCGCAUAAUGUCGCAGGACCAAAGAGGGGGACCUUCGGGCCUCUUGCCAUCAGAUGUGCCCAGAU